rnacentral:rRNA from 1 species
UACGAAGGGGGCUAGCGUUGCUCGGAAUGACUGGGCGUAAAGGGCGCGUAGGCGGCGAUCAAGGUCAGAUGUGAAAUUCCUGGGCUUAACCUGGGGGCUGCAUUUGAUACGUGGUGGCUAGAGUCCGGAAGGGGCGAGUGGAAUUCCUGGUGUAGCGGUGAAAUGCGCAGAUAUCAGGAGGAACACCAAUGGCGAAGGCAGCUCGCUGGGACGGUACUGACGCUGAGGCGCGAAAGCGUGGGGAGCAAACAGG